AUGUUACACAAGUGCAAGCAAGAUGGAAUCUCCCGCCAUUGGUGGGAAAAGGAAUGUAAAGUUACCAAAGAGAUAGACGAAGCAUAUCAGCAACGGGCCGGUAUCCUCGAGAAUGGCACACUGAGAAUUUUCCCUGCAAGAAUAAAGGAUUCUGGACUAUAUCAAGCAACCGUUCUGAUCUUUGGUGGAAAACACACAGCAAUUGUCAAUCUUACAGUAACUGAAGUUCCUCUUUCCUUCCACCCCUCCCAAUCCAAUGUAGUGGAUAUGCAGGAAAAAGACAACACCAAGAACAAAGGUAAGAAGGAGACAAAUGACUGUGCCCAACUUUGUUGCCUCUCGCUUUUUAAUUUUCAAAUUAAAAAUGGAUACAUUGUUAAAAGUUUACAUUUGUAGAUGGAAUGCUACUGGGGGAAAAGGAUAAUUACAGUACAGUUCUUCCUUCCUUACGUCCCUCCCAGUCCGAUGUAAUGAGUCCACAAGAAAAGGACUACAC
rnacentral:lncRNA from 11 species